rnacentral:rRNA from 1 species
GGCUCAGAACGAACGCUGGCGGCAGGCUUAACACAUGCAAGUCGAGCGCCCCGCAAGGGGAGCGGCAGACGGGUGAGUAACGCGUGGGAAUCUACCCUUGACUACGGAAUAACGCAGGGAAACUUGUGCUAAUACCGUAUGUGUCCUUCGGGAGAAAGAUUUAUCGGUCAAGGAUGAGCCCGCGUUGGAUUAGCUAGUUGGUGGGGUAAAGGCCUACCAAGGCGACGAUCCAUAGCUGGUCUGAGAGGAUGAUCAGCCACAUUGGGACUGAGACACGGCCCAAACUCCUACGGGAGGCAGCAGUGGGGAAUAUUGGACAAUGGGCGCAAGCCUGAUCCAGCCAUGCCGCGUGAGUGAUGAAGGCCCUAGGGUUGUAAAGCUCUUUCACCGGAGAAGAUAA